CCUACGGGAGGCAGCAGUGGGGAAUUUUGGACAAUGGGGGCAACCCUGAUCCAGCCAUGCCGCGUGAGUGAAGAAGGCCUUCGGGUUGUAAAGCUCUUUCGGACAGAAAGAAAUCGCAUCGGCUAAUACUCGAUGUGGAUGACGGUACUGUCAUAAGAAGCACCGGCUAACUACGUGCCAGCAGCCGCGGUAAUACGUAGGGUGCGAGCGUUAAUCGGAAUUACUGGGCGUAAAGCGUGCGCAGGCGGUUUUGAAAGACAGGCGUGAAAUCCCCGGGCUCAACCUGGGAACUGCGCUUGUGACUUCAAGACUAGAGUACGGCAGAGGGGGGUAGAAUUCCACGUGUAGCAGUGAAAUGCGUAGAGAUGUGGAGGAAUACCGAUGGCGAAGGCAGCCCCCUGGGCCAGUACUGACGCUCAUGCACGAAAGCGUGGGGAGCAAACAGGAUUAGAUACCCUGGUAGUCCACGCCCUAAACGAUGUCAACUAGGUGUUGGGUGGGUAAAACCAUUUAGUACCGUAGCUAACGCGUGAAGUUGACCGCCUGGGGAGUACGGCCGCAAGGUUAAAACUCAAAGGAAUUGACGG
rnacentral:rRNA from 1 species